rnacentral:lncRNA from 1 species
CAUUCUAUGCUCUGGAGAACAGGGAAAUCAACGUGAGGCUCUGCAGUGUCAUGAAGAACAGUGUGGCGCAUUCAACAAUUUCACUUGUUCUGUACAAGGUUGCUCAUGUUUUUACACGGAUAAUGAAAAUAAUGGUACGUGCUUCGAUGAACAGGACUAUAAGGACUAUUAUGAGCAAAUCAAGGGUACUCAAACAGCAUAGACGACUUCGCCAUACGACAGCAUAGACGCCAAACACAGUGGAAGAGGCGUGAUUUUUCCAUGCCGCCGAAAAUUGUUUGAAAUAAAGCUCUGGUUGUGAUGUAACGA